rnacentral:tRNA from 1 species
UCUAAUAUGGCAGAUAAGUGCAAUGGAUUUAAGCUCCAUACAUAGAGGUUAACCCUCUUAUUAGAA